ACUCUCACUCUCCUCUCUUUUUAUCUCUUCUGCCUCCUACGUCGUUGCCUCACUACUGCUGCCGUCACCUCCUCCUUCGUCGCCCUCUCUCUCGUCUCCUAUUCUCUUCACCGAUCUUCACUGGUCGUUUACUUCGUCUUCUCCACUCUCGUCGUUGGUUCCAAAACGCUAACCCUACGUUCGAUCUUCUCCAAUCCCUUCACAAGCCAUAUGUUCGAAUCCAAACCCUACACUCCCCUCAACUGUUUCAGAACCUUUGUCUACAAAGGACUACCGUCGGACUCGUCAGAACGGCGAUCUUGAACGGGCUGAUUGCGACGAGAAAGAUUAGGUGGCAAGGCACAUUAAUGCGUCAAAAAUGAAAUCGGAAGAUGGACAAUUCAUCUUUGCACUAAUUUUUCUCUCCAUUUCUGUUGAAUCGACUCCUCGAUCUUCUCUGAUCAGAACUCUGCACCAGAUUUGCCAGUUCAGCCCAGCUCCAGGUUUAGCCUUGAGUUAAUAGUCACUGCUGGCGAGGAUUGUACAUGUCGUGUGUGGGGAUUGGAUGGUAACUAGCUUAAGAUGAUAAUGGAGCACAUUGGGAGGGGAAUUUGGUGAUGCUUGUAUGAUCCAAACUGUUCACUACUUGUUGCUGCUGGAUGUGACUCAUCAAUUAAAAGCACAGUUGCUGAAUGCUUCCCUGUUCAAGAGCUCAGAGAGGCAUGAUGAGGAAACAAAGAACUCACUGAUAGAACAAAGAUCUUCACUGUUCGUAUCCCACGUUCAUUUGAGUAUAUUGGACUCAUGAACAGAUUGCCCCUUGGAUUGUCCAAAAUGAUCUCUCUAGAACAUCAAAAAAUCAGCAUUUUCAGGUCAAUGAGCAGAAAUCAAUGAGAGGCAUGCAUUUUAAAAAGGUGCCUGCAAUUAUGUUUAAUAAAUAAAGAUGUAUACA